rnacentral:rRNA from 1 species
GAUAAACGCUGGCGGCGUGCUUAACACAUGCAAGUCGAACGAAGUUUUUCCUUCUGGAGAAUCUUAGUGGCGGACGGGUGUGUAACGCGUGGGUAACCUGCCCUGUACAGGUGGACAUCAGCUUGAAACGGCUGCUAAUACCGCAUAAGCACUUAGCACUUCAUGGUGCAUAGGGAAAAGGAUCAAUCCGGUACAGGAUGGACCCGCGUCUGAUUAUCCAGUUGGCAGGGUAACGGCCUACCAAAGCGACGAUCAGUAGCCGAUCUGAGAUGAUGUACGGCCACAUUGGGACUGAGACACGACCCAGACUCCUACGGGAGGCAGCAGUGGGGAAUAUUGCACAAUGGAGGAAACUCUGAGGCAGCGACGCCGCGUGAGUGAAGAAGUAGUUCGGUAUGUAAAGCUCUAUCAGCAGGGAAGAAAAUGACGGUACCUGACUAAGAAGCACCGGCUAAAUACGUG